UACAGAGGGGGCGAGCGUUGUUCGGAAUUACUGGGCGUAAAGGGCGCGUAGGCGGCCUUCUAAGUCGAACGUGAAAUCCCCGGGCUCAACCCGGGAACUGCGUCCGAUACUGGGAGGCUUGAAUCCGGGAGAGGGAUGUGGAAUUCCAGGUGUAGCGGUGAAAUGCGUAGAUAUCAGGAGGAACACCUGCGGUGUAGACGGCUUACUGGACCAUAACUGACGCUGAGGCACGAAAGCGCGGGUAGCAAACAGG
rnacentral:rRNA from 1 species